UACGGAAGGGGCUAGCGUUGUUCGGAAUUACUGGGCGUAAAGCGCGCGCAGGCGGCUUGGCAAGUGAGGCGUGAAAGGCCUGGGCUCAACCUGGGAACUGCGCUUCAGACUGCUUGGCUUGAGUACGGGAGAGGGUGGUGGAAUUGCCAGUGUAGAGGUGAAAUUCGUAGAUAUUGGCAGGAACACCGGUGGCGAAGGCGGCCACCUGGCCCGUUACUGACGCUCAAAAGCGAAAGCGUGGGGAGCAAACAGG
rnacentral:rRNA from 1 species